rnacentral:rRNA from 1 species
GUGGGGAAUAUUGCGCAAUGGACGAAAGUCUGACGCAGCAACGCCGCGUGAGGGAUGACGGCCUUCGGGUUGUAAACCUCUUUCAGCAGGGACGAAGCGAGAGUGACGGUACCUGCAGAAGAAGGACCGGCCAACUACGUGCCAGCAGCCGCGGUAAUACGUAGGGUCCGAGCGUUGUCCGGAAUUAUUGGGCGUAAAGGGCUCGUAGGCGGUUCGUCGCGUCGGGAGUGAAAACUCGGAGCUUAACUCCGAGCCUGCUUCCGAUACGGGCAGACUAGAGGUAGGCAGGGGAGAGCGGAACUCCUGGUGUAGCGGUGGAAUGCGCAGAUAUCAGGAAGAACACCGGUGGCGAAGGCGGCUCUCUGGGCCUUACCUGACGCUGAGGAGCGAAAGCGUGGGUAGCGAACAGGAUUAGAUACCCUGGUAGUCC